GACAGAGGGUGCAAACGUUGCUCGGAAUCACUGGGCGUAAAGGGCGUGUAGGCGGGAAGGAAAGUCAGAUGUGAAAUCCCUGGGCUCAACCCAGGAACUGCAUUUGAAACUCCCUUUCUUGAGUGUCGGAGAGGAAAGCGGAAUUCCUGGUGUAGCGGUGAAAUGCGCAGAUAUCAGGAAGAACACCCGUGGCGAAAGCGGCUCUCUGGAACGGUACUGACGCUGAGACGCGAAAGCGUGGGGAGCGAACAGG
rnacentral:rRNA from 1 species